rnacentral:rRNA from 1 species
AUUGAACGCUGGCGGCAGGCCUAACACAUGCCAGUCGAACGGCAGCAGGGUGCAGGCUUCUGCUUCCCGGAGGCGAGGGGCGGGGGGGUGCAAAGUACGUGAGGCUCUAUGGUGGCGGGGGGGAACAAGUGGGGACGGUUACUAUAAUCGCACAUAGGCCCUACGGGUGAGAGCAGGGGAUCUUGGGCUCUUGCGCGCGUGUAUGACCCGAUGGCGGAUUAGCUAGUUGGUGGGGUAACGGCACACCAAGGCGACGAUCCGUAGCUGGUCUGAGAGGAUGACCAGCCACACUGGAACUGAGACACGGUCCAGACUCCUACGGGAGGCAGCAGUGGGGAAUAUUGGACAAUGGGCGCAAGCCUGAUCCAGCCAUGCCGCGUGUGUGAAGAAGGCCUUCGGGUUGUAAAGCACUUUUAGUGGGGAGGAAGGGCAGAAAGUUAAUACCUUGCCGUAUUGACGUUACCCACAGAAUAAGCACCGGCUAACUCCGUG